rnacentral:other from 1 species
UAAGUUCUGAAGCAUUCGCGGAGCCUUUAUUUUGAACCUACAUCAUUUAAACGGGAUUUCAAAUAAUGUAGGAAGCGUAUAUCAGGCCUCGUAAAAAAUACCGCAUGCGGACGGAGGAAGAUAGAAACUUCCCUGAGAAAACCCACCUAUCGCAAGAUAGGGAUCAAAAUGUUGGCAGCGGUGCUUUGGAAUAUGU